UACAGAGGUGGCAAGCGUUGUUCGGAAUUACUGGGCGUAGAGGGCGCGUAGGCGGCCUUCUAAGUCAGACGUGAAAUCCCCCGGCUUAACCUGGGAACUGCGUCUGAUACUGGGAGGCUUGAGUAUGGGAGAGGGAUGUAGAAUUCCAGGUGUAGCGGUGAAAUGCGUAGAUAUCUGGAGGAAUACCGGUGGCGAAGGCGGCAUCCUGGACCAUUACUGACGCUGAGGCGCGAAAGCUAGGGGAGCAAACGGG
rnacentral:rRNA from 1 species